UCACAAUAUACAUAAUACAUCAUACCAGAAAUAUUGUCUGUAAAUGCAUUUGAAUUAUUAUUAUAGCAGAUGAGAUAACCACCACAUUAGUCGUCUAGCAUCACUAAACUAGUACGAUAAUUUAUUGUUUUAUUUUUUGGAAGGACACUGGAAUAAAUUUAUGUGAACAUGAACUUCCCCCACACCCCUUAAAUAAAACUAGAGUAACAGUGGGUAAGGAGCAAGGACUAAGGAACAUGAACUUCCCCCACACCCCCUUAAAUAAAUU
rnacentral:lncRNA from 1 species